ensembl:lncRNA
AUGCACACCAUGGCAACAGCAAUCGGUCCAUGCUCUGAUGCAGAGGACCUGUUGGCUUCCAUCCACCUCGAGAGGUAUCUGGACCACUUCCGUCAGGCAGGCUUUCUCCUCGCCCGAGACUUCUGUCAUGUGGACAGUGUGGCUCUGAACAGGGUGGGAGUCACUGCCACCGGCCACAGGAAGCGUAUCCUCAAACUAGUCGAGCACAUUCAGCUGAUCUGUCAACAGCCCUCGCUAGAUCGCUGCAAUUCAGACUCUGCUAUUCAUGAGGUGACCCCUGUCAAAGCGCAGCCUCAUUCUCCUUCAAGACAUUCUGGCAUCUCCUUAGAAGCCUUACGUAACAGGUCAGCCCCGAAUCUUUGUGCACAAGUGAAGCGCUCGUUCUCAGACCGUAGCACCAGUGUUGUAAAGCCGGUACCAAAACCAAGAACUGUCUUUCACAGACUGAGAGCAGAGAAAAUUUCUUUACCAACGCAACAUGAAGCGCAACCUCGCCAAAAGUCAUCUCAGGACUCACUUUUAAAAGUUGCACAAGGUUCAUCCUCCAGUACAGACACUGUCGAAUCAUCUACUGAAUCAAAAAAGGGCCAUUGUGAACCAGGUUUGAGUAAAAGUGAUCCGUUACCCCCAGUGCCCCCUAGGUUAAAUCGAGGAACUCCCCCAUCCACAUUCAGGAGAAUGUCGGAGCAGGAGCGUCUGAGCACCCCACCCCUCUGCACCCCUCCUGACUCCCCCUCCAGUUAUCAGUGCUCUCCCUUCACUAACACACCCGGUUCACCUCCAAGUCCACCCUGCUCAGGGCUAGAGAUGGUCUCUAAUGAAAUCUACUGUGGCACUUUACCAGGCACUCCAUUUUGGAGUCGCUCUGUACCCGUUCCCCCUCCACGCCAGGAGGUACCUGCUGAGGAAGAAGAUGAAACGAUCAACCCGUACUGUGAAACUGUUUUCCACAGCAGGCGACAAUAUCAACAUUCAGAGGUAAGAUACUCAAAUAAUAUUACUGUACAGUUUAUAUUUUUAACUUCCUCCUCCCACAGGCAGCACAAUCACUCUUCGCUCAAGCGUCUUGAUUCUCCAGGUUACUGCACUGUGGGUGAACCGUCCCCGGCCCGUCACUCAUUCUCCCUCCCUCACAACUUUGUCUCCAAUGAAACGGAUGAGGACAUCAUCUCUCCCUACGCCAGCUUCACCUCGCUGUCCGAGCGGGUGGCACCCAUCCUCAGCGGCUGGCUGGACAAGCUCUCUCCUCAAGGAAACUAUGUGUUCCAGAAGCGAUAUGUGAAGUUUGAUGGGAAGAACUUGAUGUACUAUGGUAGUGAAAAGGAUGCUUAUCCCAAAGGUGUGAUUCCCUUAGCUGCCAUACAAAUGGCCCGCGUAGCCAAAGACAAUAAAUUUGAGGUUGUCACAAGUCACAGGACAUUUGUCUUCAGAGCUGAUAAUGAUGUUCAGAGGAGCACAUGGUGCGGCACGUUGCAGGAGCGGGUCAAAGAACAGCUGGUUUUCGGCCGCUUACGUUUUGGCCCUGGCAGUCACUGCCAAAAGAACGGCUUCCUGGAGCUCAAAGGAACCAAGUCAAAGAUCUACACAGCCAUUAUAAUGGAGCAGAUCUGGUUGUACAAGAAUGAGCAGUGCUUUAAAAAUGGAAUUGGAAUUACUGUAAUUGAGGCCAGAGGAGCUACAAUUCGUGAUGGGAAGGGCAAGAGCUUUGAUCUCAUUACACCUUAUAAAACCUUCAGCUUUACGGCAGAGUCGGAGCGAGAGAAGAGGGACUGGAUAGAGGCCCUGCAGGAGUCUAUAGCGGAAACACUGUCUGAUUAUGAGGUGGCAGAGAAGAUCUGGUCCAACAGGUCCAACAAGAUCUGCGCAGACUGCAAAGCCAUCAAUCCAGACUGGGCAUCCAUCAAUCUCUGUGUGGUCAUCUGCAAGAACUGUGCAGGCCAGCAUCGAGGUCUCGGCACAAUGGUGUCGAAAGUGCAGAGUCUGAAACUAGACACCAGCGUGUGGAGCAAUGAGAUCGUCCAGCUCUUCAUAAUGCUUGGCAAUGAUAGAGCCAAUGAAUUUUGGGCGGCCAGACUUCCUGUGACUGAGGAGCUGGACUGUGACGCCUCCCCAGAGCAGCGGAAAGAGUUUAUCACCCACAAAUACAGAGAAGGCAGAUAUCGGCACCCUCAACCCAGUUUUAGCACUCAAGAGGACCUUCUUAAGGCGCUGUGCACCGCUGUGACUGAGCAGAACCUGCUAAAAACGGUCACUCAGAUUUUUGCGGAGGCCGAGGCCGUGCGACUAGCUGACGCUGAUGGAAGCGAUAAGCGCGUGUCCCCGCAUUACUCAUACACACAGUCAGCAGGUAUGAUAGAGUCCCUUCCAAGGUGUGAAGUAUCUUACUGUCAUUUUCUGGAUUCAGAUUCCUGUGUCUAUGAUGAGAUCAUGCAGUCCAUCCUGUACUCCGGCUACAUCUACAAGUCAAGCUCCUUGAACAAAGGGACAUUAUCUCGCAGAACCAGAGACGAUUUCCAAAAGUACUGGUGUUCGGUGGAGAAGUCUAUUCUCUUCUAUGAGUCUGACAGAUGUCAUGAGCCCAGUAUGAAGAUCGAUGUGAAAGACAUCAUCUGUUUAGGGGUUAGCCGGCCAGACUCCAGCAACAGCAGCGGCUUUAUUGACAAAUUUCGAUACACAUUUGAACUUUACCUAACAUCUGAUAAACUGAUCCAGUUUGGCUUUGAGACUCCAGAUGCGUUACACAGUUGGGCGAGAGCGAUAGGGAAGGCCACCACACCUCUCAGCUGUCACUGCCUGCUGGCGCGAGAGUUCGAGCGAGUGGGCGUCCUGCGCUACAAGGCCAUGCUAGACCCACAGCAGUGGAAAGAAGGCUUCUUUGUUCUGCAGAAGUCCAACCUGUUCAUAUGCCCUGGAAAUGAUGGAGCCGCAGAGGAUAUUAUAAACCUGAAACGCCUACAGGAGCUCAGCAUUGCAUCGGAAACAGAGAACCAUGAGAAGAAGGACAUCCUGGUUCUUGUUGAGAAAGGAAGGACUCUGCAUCUGCAGGGCACGGGCAGGACUGACUUCUCCCUGUGGUACGCAGACAUUCAGAAGGCAGCAGGAGGGAAAGGGAACACCCUGAAAGACCAGCAGCUCAGCAGAAAUGACAUCCCCAUCAUCGUUGACAGCUGCAUUGCCUUUAUAACUCAGUAUGGUCUAGGCCAUGAGGGGAUAUACAGGAAAAAUGGUGCGAAGUCCAGAAUCAAGCUUUUGAUGGAGGAGUUUCGUAAGGACGCCCGCAAUGUGAAACUCCGCAUUGGAGAUAACUUCAUAGAGGACGUGACGGAUGUACUGAAAAGGUUCUUUCGGGAGAUUGAUGAUCCUAUAUUCAUGGCUGAUCUCCACCCCUUCUGGAGGGAAGCUGCCAAGAUACCUCAAAAGCCACAGCGUUUGGACCGAUACAAAGAGCUGAUUCGAGGGUUACCUCGGGUCAACAGAACGACUUUAGCAGCUCUCAUCAGUCAUCUCUACAGGGUGCAGAAGUGUGCUGAUCUCAAUCAGAUGUGCACUAAGAACCUGUCCCUGCUGUUCGCUCCCAGCCUGUUUCAGACUGAUGGGAAAGGGGAACAUGAGGUCAAAAUCAUAGAAGACCUCAUCGAUAACUACCUGUACAUAUUUGAUGUAAUGCAAACCUCUGGUGUGGCUCUCCCACAGGUGUCUCCCACAAUGUGUGCUGAGGAGCUGACCAAUCAGGUGCUGUAUAUGAGAAAUAUUCCUGCGGGGGAAAAAGACGUGUGGAUGACCUUUGAGGCCAUUGAGGAAGGAGAGCUUGAGCGACCUCUUCACCCCAAAGAGAUGGUUCUGGAACAAGCUCUACAGUGGUGUAAGAUGGCUGAUCCCAGCUCAGCGUAUCUGGUGGUGAAGAAGGUGCCUAGAGGAGAAGCUAUUGACAUUUUCACAGCCUAUAAGAGUGAGAUAGUGAAGUCUGGAGUGCUGAAGUGUCGGGAAGAGCCGCCCAAGCUCUUGCAAGGAAACAAAUUCCAGGAGCACUCAUUUCAAAUUAAAGACCACAGACUGCUCCUGAUGAAGGACAAAAAAAGCAACAAACCUGAGAAAGAGUGGCAACUGAAAACCUUGAAGAUUUACAUGGGGAUCAGAAAGAAGUUAAAACCACCAACAAAAUGGGGAUUAACAGUGAUGCUGGAUAAACAGCAAUUGUACCUCAGCUGUUCCUGUGAGACUGAAUUAUGGGAUUGGAUGACUAAUUUACUAAAAGCACAGAAUGAUGAUUUGCGUCCACCUGUGAUGAGACGGCACUCUUCCUCUGACAUUUCCAAGCAGAAGUUUGGCACCAUGCCUCUAGUGCCCAUCAGAGGAGAGGAGAGCAAUACCAACACCACCAUGCUCUCCGCCAAUCAGACUCUGAGAAAGCUCCACACGAGAAGGGCUCUCUCAAUGUUCUUUCCCAUGAAGGUGCAUCAGGACUCGUUUGAGGAGCGCAUUGAAAGCUCGGAGCCUUUGUAUGAGGAGGUGGGCGACUUCGGUCUGCAGGUGCUCAAGUCUUUGGAAACUAGUUUCCUGUCCAGUGCUCACGCAGAGACACAGGAGGUGCCAGCACGGCCCGUCAGUCUCGGACAGAGGAAGGCUGCCUCCCUGGAUCGCAUGGUUGGGUCAAAGCCUGUGCACUCUCUCUUAUCCUCAGGCGAGUCAAUAGACACUCUGGGCCAGGAGGAGCCCACUGACUCUCUGCACGUCCCAGGUAAGCACAGGUCCCACAGAUCAUGUAGCCCCCAACAGGAACUGCUGUUACAGGAACUCUCCACAAUGUUCUGCAAGAAACCAGAGUCUGAAGAACAGCAUGAGAACCUCACCUGAGCUUAGAGACCAGAUCAAUCUCACGAGCGAUUUGCUUUGGAACUCGAAAUUGCUGUUACUAUAUAUUGCCACGUGUGUCUGUUUGAAAUUGGCUAGUAAGAAUCCAGUAUUAAAUUGAUCAUUUUAUAAACAUAAAGUAUUGUGCCAAAGCAGUCACUGAAAUUAAAAUAUGAGUCUGUGAAUCUGUGCUAGAAUUGUUUUGUAGAAAUGGGAUAAAUCUGUUUUGGCUUGUGCAUUUGUUGACUUGUUACACUAAAACUGACCGAUCUCUCAAAAUUUAAAAUGAUCAUUUAUCAUUAUUAUAUUUUAUUGUGUUAUUUGUACCUAAAGAUGAAAUUACAUUUCAGUUCCAUUUCAUAAUUGUUUUUUAAAACAAAUUUCUUGGCUCAGUAACAAAUUUUAUCUGUAUAACAGUAAGAAAUGCAAGUAAAGCAAAGCAUGUGCAGUCUGUAAUAUAUAAUAAGUGGUCUUAUUAGCAGAAAAAAAAACAAACAAAAAAACAUUUACAUUGAUAUUCCUGGACUGCAGACUGAUUAAAUGACUACUUUAUGGGUGCAUUUCACUUCUCCUGUGACUUUGACCAGAUCUUUUAUAUGUAUACAGUGUAUUAUAUUUAUUAAUUUAUUUAUAUAGACUAUUUGAUUCAUUCUCAUAUUUCUCACUGUUUGGAGACAGUGAAGGAACAUUAUCAGAAGGAUAAAGGCAGUUUCUUGAGUUUUGACUGUAACAGUAGAGGGCAGUAUAGAUACAGCACAUGAUGUCCUGACAAUCUAAAGCAUUUUCACUCCUCAUUUAUUAAAGGCAUGUACAGUUCUAUAAAUUCAUAACAAAAUAAAUCUGUUCUUACCCUGAUUUUUUUUUUGUUC